AUGCAUGUCUAAGUAUAAGCACUUGUACUGUGAAACUGCGAAUGGCUCAUUAAAUCAGUUAUCGUUUAUUUGAUUGUACUUUACUACAUGGAUACCUGUGGUAAUUCUAGAGCUAAUACAUGCGAAAAAUCCCGACUUCUGGAAGGGAUGUAUUUAUUAGAUUAAAAACCAAUGCGGACCUUCGGGCCCGUUUUCUUGGUGAUUCAUGAUAACUUUUCGAAUCGCAUGGCCUAGCGCCGGCGAUAUUUCAUUCAAAUUUCUGCCCUAUCAACUGUCGAUGGUAAGGUAGUGGCUUACCAUGGUUAUAACGGGUGACGGAGAAUUAGGGUUCGAUUCCGGAGAGGGAGCCUGAGAAACGGCUACCACA
rnacentral:rRNA from 3 species